AUUGAACGCUGGCGGCAUGCCUUACACAUGCAAGUCGAACGGUAACAGGUUAAGCUGACGAGUGGCGAACGGGUGAGUCAUGUAUCGGAACGUGCCCAGUCGUGGGGGAUAACUGCUCGAAAGAGCAGCUAAUACCGCAUACGACCUGAGUGUGAAAGCGGGGGAUCGCAAGACCUCGCGCGAUUGGAGCGGCCGAUAUCAGAUUAGGUAGUUGGUGAGGUAAAGGCUCACCAAGCCGACGAUCUGUAGCUGGUCUGAGAGGACGACCAGCCACACUGGGACUGAGACACGGCCCAGACUCCUACGGGAGGCAGCAGUGGGGAAUUUUGGACAAUGGGCGCAAGCCUGAUCCAGCCAUGCCGCGUGCGGGAAGAAGGCCUUCGGGUUGUAAACCGCUUUUGUCAGGGAAGAAAAGGUUCUGGCUAAUACCUGGGACUCAUGACGGUACCUGAAGAAUAAGCACCGGCUAACUACGUG
rnacentral:rRNA from 1 species